rnacentral:tRNA from 1 species
GUCCCCAUCGUCUAGUGGCCUAGGACGUCGGCCUCUCACGCCGAUAACACCGGUUCAAACCCGGUUGGGGACG